UAAACAUUGAUAUAUUAUUACAUUUACAAUCCGCCAGGGUACUACAAGCACUAGCUUAAAACCCAAAGGACUUGGCGGUGCUUAAGAUCCCCCUAGAGGAGCCUGUUCUAGAACCGAUAAUCCACGUUUAACCUCACCCUCUCUUGUUUUCCCCGCCUAUAUACCGCCGUCGUCAGCUUACCCUAUGAGGGUCCAACAGUGAGCAAAAAUGGCACAGCCCAAAACGUCAGGUCGAGGUGUAGCGUAUGAGAGGGGAAGAAAUGGGCUACAUUCUCUAAAAAUAGAAGCACACGGAUAAUAUAUUGAAACAUAUAUUUUAAGGAGGAUUUAGUAGUAAGUAGAAAUUAGAAUGUUCCACUGAAUCCGGCUCUAAAGCGCGC
rnacentral:rRNA from 1 species